CCACUGCAUUAUGAUAUUGGUGAGUUGGUCGUUUCGACAAUUCAAUCAAUCAGAUGUGCUUCCUACACAAAAUCCUUGCUUCAGAUCGCAGAUUGUAUCGUAGUCCUAAUUCUUAAUGCAUACAAAUACAGUCAUACGUAAGAAAUAUGAUGGAAAGGGCUUAAGGGCGGCCAGAUAAGCCUAAAACGGUGGGGGGGGGAUUGAUGAAAUCCAUUCCCACUGGCCAUUAUUGAAAAAGAAACGAAGAGAAAAACCGGAGAAGAAGAAGAAGAAGAACCCACCUGCAAUCCUAAAUAAUCGGUGCCGAAAUCUAAACGGUCGAUAAUAUUCUGGCUGACGGCGACAUACCUGAGUAACCUGGCCGAAAUAAUUUGGAAAUUUAGAG
rnacentral:lncRNA from 1 species